rnacentral:rRNA from 1 species
CCGGAAAAAGAGGAGUGGCGAACGGGUGAGUAACACGUGGGUAACCUGCCCAUCAGAAGGGGAUAACACUUGGAAACAGGUGCUAAUACCGUAUAACAAUCAAAACCGCAUGGUUUUGAUUUGAAAGGCGCUUUCGGGUGUCGCUGAUGGAUGGACCCGCGGUGCAUUAGCUAGUUGGUGAGGUAACGGCUCACCAAGGCCACGAUGCAUAGCCGACCUGAGAGGGUGAUCGGCCACAUUGGGACUGAGACACGGCCCAAACUCCUACGGGAGGCAGCAGUAGGGAAUCUUCGGCAAUGGACGAAAGUCUGACCGAGCAACGCCGCGUGAGUGAAGAAGGUUUUCGGAUCGUAAAACUCUGUUGUUAGAGAAGAACAAGGAUGAGAGUAACUGUUCAUCCUUUGACGGUAUCUAACCAGAAAGCCACGGCUAACUACGUGCCAGCAGCCGCGGUAAUACGUAGGUGGCAAGCGUUGUCCGGAUUUAUUGGGCGUAAAGCGAGCGCAGGCGGUUUCUUAAGUCUGAUGUGAAAGCCCCCGGCUCAACCGGGGAGGGUCAUUGGAAACUGGGAGACUUGAGUGCAGAAGAGGAGAGUGGAAUUCCAUGUGUAGCGGUGAAAUGCGUAGAUAUAUGGAGGAACACCAGUGGCGAAGGCGGCUCU